UAAUAAACGAAAAUAUAUUAAGUUGUUACCAUGACAACGAACUUUGUUUAUAUUUAUGUUUUCGCCGUUAACGGAACUAAAUAUGGUUCGGAUUACCGAAGAAAUGGUUCGUAAACGAGCCGAACAUAACGAAGGAGAAAUAUUUAACUUGGAAGAAAUAUCGUUGCACCAAGAAAAUAUCGAAAGGAUUGAAAAUCUAGACAAGUGGUGCAGAAAGUUAAAGAUUUUAUAUUUACACAAUAAUAUAAUACCCAAAAUAGGUAAUAUAAGUCUUAUUGAAACACGUACUGUACCAAAACACACUACACGUAAAGCGUGACACUAUCGUCUACUGUUCUAUAUAUGAAAUAACUGAGCAAAUCGUAUUAAGU